rnacentral:rRNA from 1 species
GACGAACGCUGGCGGCGUGCUUAACACAUGCAAGUCGAACGGAAAGGCCCUGCUUUUGUGGGGUGCUCGAGUGGCGAACGGGUGAGUAACACGUGAGUAACCUGCCCUUGACUUUGGGAUAACUUCAGGAAACUGGGGCUAAUACCGGAUAGGAGCUCCUGCUGCAUGGUGGGGGUUGGAAAGUUUCGGCGGUUGGGGAUGGACUCGCGGCUUAUCAGCUUGUUGGUGGGGUAGUGGCUUACCAAGGCUUUGACGGGUAGCCGGCCUGAGAGGGUGACCGGCCACAUUGGGACUAGAAUACGGCCCAGACUCCUACGGGAGGCAGCAGUGGGGAAUAUUGCACAAUGGGCGGAAGCCUGAUGCAGCAACGCCGCGUGCGGGAUGACGGCCUUCGGGUUGUAAACCGCUUUCGCCUGUGACGAAGCGUGAGUGACGGUAAUGGGUAAAGAAGCACCGGCUAACUACGUG